rnacentral:snoRNA from 1 species
UUCCUUUUAGAACACUUGCUGGGUCUGCCCUGUGGCCUGGGAAGCUGUCAGAGAAGGGCAGAGCAGUCCAUUGUCACUGAUGAGAUGGCAGCGGGAUGUGUUGUUGGUCUCAAUCAGAUUGUUGUGGGACAG